GCAUUAAUGGGGUAGUGGUAACCUGGGUCGUUGCCAUUCGAGUACUGAAUCGACCCGCCGGGGGUUCGAUUCCCUCUUAAUGCA
rnacentral:tRNA from 1 species